CCUACGGGUGGCAGCAGUGAGGAAUAUUGGUCAAUGGACGAGAGUCUGAACCAGCCAAGUAGCGUGAAGGAUGACUGCCCUAUGGGUUGUAAACUUCUUUUAUAUGGGAAUAAAAUGUUCCACGUGUGGGAUUUUGUAUGUACCAUAUGAAUAAGGAUCGGCUAACUCCGUGCCAGCAGCCGCGGUGAUACGGAGGUUCCGAGCGUUAUCCGGAUUUAUUGGGUUUAAAGGGAGCGUAGGUGGAUUGUUAAGUCAGGUGUGAAAGUUUGCGGCUCAACCGUAAAAUUGCAGUUGAAACUGGCAGUCUUGAGUACAGUAGAGGUGGGCGGAAUUCGUGGUGUAGCGGUGAAAUGCUUAGAUAUCACGAAGAACUACGAUUGCGAAGGCAGUUCACUGGACUGCAACUGACACUGAGGCUCGAAAGUGUGGGUAUCAAACAGGAUUAGAUACCCGUGUAGUC
rnacentral:rRNA from 1 species